rnacentral:rRNA from 1 species
GAUGAGCGCUGGCGGCGUGCCUAAUACAUGCAAGUCGAGCGAACAGACGAGGAGCUUGCUCCUCUGACGUUAGCGGCGGACGGGUGAGUAACACGUGGAUAACCUACCUAUAAGACUGGGAUAACUUCGGGAAACCGGAGCUAAUACCGGAUAAUAUAUUGAACCGCAUGGUUCAAUAGUGAAAGACGGUUUUGCUGUCACUUAUAGAUGGAUCCGCGCCGCAUUAGCUAGUUGGUAAGGUAACAGCUUACCAAGGCAACGAUGCGUAGCCGACCUGAGAGGGUGAUCGGCCACACUGGAACUGAGACACGGUCCAGACUCCUACGGGAGGCAGCAGUAGGGAAUCUUCCGCAAUGGGCGAAAGCCUGACGGAGUAACGCCGCGUGAGUGAUGAAGGUCUUCGGAUCGUAAAACUCUGUUAUUAGGGAAGAACAAAUGUGUAAGUAACUAUGCACGUCUUGACGGUACCUAAUCAGAAAGCCACGGCUAACUACGUG